rnacentral:rRNA from 1 species
GAUGAACGCUGGCGGCGUGCCUAAUACAUGCAAGUCGAGCGAACAGACGAGGAUUUUGCUCCGCUGACGUUAGCGGCGGACGGGUGAGUAACACGUGGAUAACCUACCUAUAAGACUGGGAUAACUUCGGGAAACCGGAUCUAAUACCGGAUAAUAUAUUGAACCGCAUGGUUCAAUAGUGAAAGACGGUUUUGCUGUCACUUAUAGAUGGAUCCGCGUCGCAUUAGCUAGUUGGUAAGGUAACGGCUUACCAAGGCUACGAUGCGUAGCCGACCUGAGAGGAUGAUCGGCCACACUGGAACUGAGACACGGUCCAGACUCCUACGGGAGGCAGCAGUAGGGAAUCUUCCGCAAUGGGCGAAAGCCUGACGGAGCAAUGCCGCGUGAGUGAUGAAGGUCUUCGGAUCGUAAAGCUCUGUUAGUAGGGAAGAAGAAAUGUGUAAUAAACUAUGCACGUCUUGACGGUACCUAAUCAGAAAGCCCCGGCUAACUACGUG